AUACAGUUAUUGAAGCACAUUUGUGUGCAUGAAAGGGUUAACCUGACCCCUGAGUUCAAUUUACCAGAAUGGGUGUGGCUUAGCAGUACUAAGCAGCCUCUGCUCCCCACCUUCUCAGUCUUUUUCUCUUUAUGCUUCCUGAAACAAGCAAGAAGCCAUGCGGUCACGGCUUCCUAGACGAUAACUGAAUCUCCUCCAAAAGGAAGAUUUUACAGCCUGCAUCUUUGCUAAUGCAAAUAUUCCAUGGUCCUUUUGUAAGUAAGCCAAGUCCAUUUCUUUUAAAGUCACUUGGAACCUUUUUCAUCUUCAUUUUAAUGGAUGGAGAUUUAUUUGCUGUAACUUCUGAAAACUCUGCCUAUGCUACUGGACUGAAGGGAAAAAAGACUUGACAUUUACCAUUAUUAAUAAGUUGGGCAGAGACAUCGACUCAGCCUCUGAAGCUGCAGGAGGAAAAGAGCAAGAAGUUCACUGGUCUCUCUGCAGUCCUCCUGAAGGAGAAAGGAGUUGAACCCUGACUUCUGGGACUGAAUGCCCCAAGAGAAAUGUCAAGUUGAAGACCUUUCACUGUUGCAGACUCCUAACAGUGCCUUCUAUUGUGUGACGCUACAAAGGUGCCUGAGACCCACACUGAUACUUACACAAAAGAGAAUGAAUGUUUGGUUCAUCCUUGAAGUUUAGGGCUCUGCCAGCAACGAGAAAGGUAAUGGCUCUGUCAUGUUGUACACAGAACUGACAUCAUGAACACUGCAGAGGAAUCUUCUUGAACGGUGAACCUCACGUGCUUGCGGAAACACAGCUACCUUACAUUUUAUUUAAGUUGUAUAUAUCUAGAACAUUUCUGUGCAAUGUUUGCCCAGUUAAGAACAUGGCUCAUCAUUUUGAAACAGGUCCAGACGUUCCCCCGCCCUCCUAAUGGGAAGCCAUGGGACUGACUGCAGAUGUUCACAAAUGCAGAGAUUGUGACUGAUGGGGGAUUUGGCAUGGAAAUCUCACAAUGUGGCCUCCACUCAACUGCUGCUGACCUCCUCCUAUACCUUUCAAGAGUUUCGUUGCAAGGCGAAGAAAGGGAUGGUGGGCAGC